rnacentral:rRNA from 1 species
CGGUUCGCUGCCGACAACGUCACGAGAAGUCCACUGAACCUUAUCAUUUAGAGGAAGGAGAAGUCGUAACAAGGUUUCCGUAGGUGAACCUGCGGAAGGAUCAUUGUCGAAAUCGAACGGAAGGAUGACCCGCGAAUCGUCGUCGCGUACAGGAGAGAGCUCGUGAGCGCCCAACGCUCACGCGGCUCGCGUCGCGUCGGCGCGGGUGUGCUCGAGACCCGCGUCGUACCGGCGUACAAACAACGUCAGCACGGAUCGUGCCAAGGAGCUGCAUGGAGAGAAUCGUCGUCCAGCGCCUUUGAUUGUCCCCGUUGCGGGACGGGGGGCGGGGGAUGUACGCAAUCUCUGCUCAAGUCUAAAUGACUCUCGGCAACGGAUAUCUCGGCUCUUGCAUCGAUGAAGAACGUAGCGAAAUGCGAUACUUGGUGUGAAUUGCAGAAUCCCGCGAACCAUCAAUUCUUUGAACGCAAGUUGCGCCCGAAGCCAUUCGGCCGAGGGCACGCCUGCCUGGGUGUCGUGAAUCCCCCUGCCCCUAGGCACCCGCACGCGCAUUGGCGGGGAAAUGCCCGGGCGCAGAAUAUGGUCUCCCGUGGGUUCGGCACGCACGGCGUGCCGAGGUGCGGUUGGCCGAAAAUCGAGCAUGGCGGUGACGGGCACCACGGCGUUCGGUGGAUCGAAUGAGAUUGGCUGCGUCGUGGGCUCGGCAUGCGGCGGGCUCCGGACUUUGACCAUCCCCGAGUGCGAUCCCAGGUCAGGCGGGGCUACCCGCUGAGUUUAAGCAUAUCAAUAAGC